rnacentral:piRNA from 1 species
UGGUGGUCAUGGUUCUUUCCUUCGCUGGU